rnacentral:rRNA from 1 species
GAUGAACGCUGGCGGCGUGCCUCAAACAUGCAAGUCGAGCGGGGCUAUGUAAUAUCGCAAGGUAGAACAUAGCCUAGCGGCGAACGGGUGAGUAACACGUGGGUAACCUGCCUGGAAGACAGGGAUAACGAUUCGAAAGGGUCGCUAAUACCUGAUAAUAUCCUUUCAUCGCAUGGUGAUAGGAAGAAAGGGGAAACCCGCUUUCAGAUGGGCCCGCGUCCCAUCAGCUAGUUGGUAAGGUAAAGGCUUACCAAGGCGACGACGGGUAGCCGGUCUGAGAGGAUGUACGGCCACACUGGGACUGAGAUACGGCCCAGACUCCUACGGGAGCAGCAGUUGGGAAUCUUAGGCAAUGGACGAAAGUCUGACCUAGCGACGCCGCGUGAGGGAAGAAGGCCUUCGGGUUGUAAACCUCUGUCAGUGGGGAAGAAGUAAGUGACGGUACCCCAAGAGGAAGCCCCUGCUAACUACGUGCCAAGCAAGCCCGACGGUAAAAGUACGUCCUAU